UUUAUAAAGAGUUUGAUCCUGGCUCAGGACGAACGCUGGCGGCGCGCCUAACACAUGCAAGUCGAACGAGCGAGAGAGAGCUUGCUUUCUCGAGCGAGUGGCGAACGGGUGAGUAACGCGUGAGGAACCUGCCUCAAAGAGGGGGACAACAGUUGGAAACGACUGCUAAUACCGCAUAAGCCCACGACCCGGCAUCGGGUAGAGGGAAAAGGAGCAAUCCGCUUUGAGAUGGCCUCGCGUCCGAUUAGCUAGUUGGUGAGGUAACGGCCCACCAAGGCGACGAUCGGUAGCCGGACUGAGAGGUUGAACGGCCACAUUGGGACUGAGACACGGCCCAGACUCCUACGGGAGGCAGCAGUGGGGAAUAUUGCACAAUGGGGGAAACCCUGAUGCAGCGACGCCGCGUGGAGGAAGAAGGUCUUCGGAUUGUAAACUCCUGUUGUUGAGGAAGAUAAUGACGGUACUCAACAAGGAAGUGACGGCUAACUACGUGCCAGCAGCCGCGGUAAAACGUAGGUCACAAGCGUUGUCCGGAAUUACUGGGUGUAAAGGGAGCGCAGGCGGGAAGACAAGUUGGAAGUGAAAUCCAUGGGCUCAACCCAUGAACUGCUUUCAAAACUGUUUUUCUUGAGUAGUGCAGAGGUAGGCGGAAUUCCCGGUGUAGCGGUGGAAUGCGUAGAUAUCGGGAGGAACACCAGUGGCGAAGGCGGCCUACUGGGCACCAACUGACGCUGAGGCUCGAAAGUGUGGGUAGCAAACAGGAUUAGAUACCCUGGUAGUCCACACUGUAAACGAUGAUUACUAGGUGUGGGGGGUCUAACCC
rnacentral:rRNA from 1 species